CACGUAGGCGGUGAAUCGGGUUGAAAGUGAAAGUCGCCAAAAAGUGGCGGAAUGCUCUCGAAACCAAUUCACUUGGGUGAGACAGAGGAGAGUGGAAUUUCGUGUGUAGGGGUGAAAUCCGUAGAUCUACGAAGGAACGCCAAAAGCGAAGGCAGCUCUCUGGGUCCCUACCGACGCUGGGUGCGAAAGCAUGGGGAGCGAACA
rnacentral:rRNA from 1 species